rnacentral:rRNA from 1 species
UACGGAGGGUGCGAGCGUUAUCCGGAUUCACUGGGUUUAAAGGGUGCGUAGGCGGGUUGGUAAGUCCGUGGUGAAAUCUCCAAGCUUAACUUGGAAACUGCCGUGGAUACUAUCAAUCUUGAAUAUCGUGGAGGUAAGCGGAAUAUGUCAUGUAGCGGUGAAAUGCUUAGAUAUGACAUAGAACACCAAUUGCGUAGGCAGCUUACUACACGAUCAUUGACGCUGAGGCACGAAAGCGUGGGGAGCAAACAGG